rnacentral:rRNA from 1 species
UACAGAGGUGGCAAGCGUUGUUCGGAAUUACUGGGCGUAAAGGGCGCGUAGGCGGCCUUCUAAGUCAGACGUGAAAUCCCCCGGCUUAACCUGGGAACUGCGUCUGAUACUGGGAGGCUUGAGUAUGGGAGAGGGAUGUAGAAUUCCAGGUGUAGCGGUGAAAUGCGUAGAUAUCGGGAGGAACACCUAUGGCGAAGGCAGCUCGCUGGGACGUUACUGACGCUGAGACGCGAAAGCGUGGGGAGCAAACAGG